rfam:Triticum aestivum genome assembly, contig: Triticum_aestivum_CS42_TGACv1_scaffold_515733_6BS
CAACUACUCCCUCUGUCCCAAAUAACUUGUCUUAGAUUUGUCUAGAUACGGAUGUAUCUAAUACUAAAAUGUGACUUGAUACAUCCGUAUCUAGACAAAACUAAGACAAGAAUUUUGGGACAGAGGGAGUACUUU